GCAAAGGUAGCAUAGUCAUUAGUUCUUUAAUUGUGAUCUGGUAUGAAUGGCUUGACGAGGCAUGGGCUGUCUUAAUUUUUAACUGUUUAUUGAAUUUGGUCUUUGAGUUAAAAUUCUUAGAUGUUUUUAUGGGACGAGAAGACCCUAUAGAGUUUAACAUUUGUUAUGGUCCCCUUUCUGUUUGUGAGGGUUCAUCGGGCCGUUUAAUAUGUUUUGUUGGGGUGAUGGGAGGGAUUAAUUUAACCCCUCCUUUUUAUUAUUAUAUUUAUUUAUAUUUACUUGAUCCAUUUAUUUUGAUUGUAAGAUUAAAUUACCUUAGGGAUAACAGCGUUAUCUUCCUUGAGAGUUCUUAUCGGCAGGGGGGUUUGCG
rnacentral:rRNA from 1 species